CGCCUUUUUAAAGUUUUUAUAAAUAGAAAGGAAGAGGGGGUUGGAGAUCUCAAGUGUGGUGAUGUCGGAGAGACCAAUAGAUUGGGAAGAUGUUGCAUAUGAGCAUGGAGUAAACGAAGUGGCUAUGAAAUAAAUUCCAUGCUCAUUAAUGUUGUCUUCGUCUCUAAUCUGAAUGUUCGGAGUUUCUCCUGGAUUGGUCUCACCUAUGUCCUCUUCUGUAGUUGGAUGAAUCUCAUGUUCAAAGGGAGUCAAGAACUCACCAUUUGAAAUUGAGCCAAAGUCAGAACCCAUUAAGGCUU
rnacentral:lncRNA from 1 species